rnacentral:tRNA from 4 species
GGUACUCUGGCCGAGUGGUCUAAGGCGCCAGGUCGAGGUCCUGGUCUCUUCGGAGGCGCGGGUUCGAACCCCGCGGGUAUCA